GUCUGUUAAGGAUGUGUUGAAGUUGAAGACUCCGUUGUUGGAAAUUAAGGAAUGCUUGCUGAAGGCCGAUGUUUUCCCCGGUUGUGGGAAGGGUUGUUUGGAUUGUGCUAUACAGGGUAAGAGUUGCUUGAAGCUGCAGCAGGGUAUCCAGGUCUUGCUUGACAAUGGUACCCUCCAAGUUGAAGACCUGUCUGUCAAAGAGUUUGCUGAAGAGG
rnacentral:lncRNA from 1 species